rnacentral:sRNA from 1 species
CUGGAUCUCAGUGUAUAAGCGGGAUGAAAACCGUUCUGAGAGGCGGAAGCUUUCGGUAGUGGAAGCUGUCGGAAUGCCUGCAUUGGGGAAAAGCCCAGGGAUACCUGGUGUCAGUGCCCUGUGGUAUGUGCGUGAGCAUAUACCGGAAUGCCGACAGGCAUAAAAUGCGGUGCCGUGCCGGAGGAACGCAGAUUAAGGCGCAGUGUCUGUCGCCGGCUAAUAGACGCCCUCCCGGAAGGAGGGAAUAACCCGGAAUGCCGCGGGGUGGUGCCUGCAGGAGAGAGGCUGAUUCCGCAUAAAGGAGGUUCGGCCCUUUACGGGAAGACUUAAAUAAGCCGGUUUCCAGUGAAGUCCUGAAAAGGGCGUAUAAGACGGAUGACUGACCCAAUUGCGGAAUGGAAACCCUUUCUUCCAGCUCAGCAACUCAGUGGAAUGGAGUUUUUUUAAAAAUAUGCCGGAAGAUCCGUGAAUGGUGGAGGUAAUCAAUCCUUCUUGAGACAGGCGGCGAAAGCCGCAGGAUGCGCGGAUGGGAGUCGCUGCCCAUCGGCCGGCCGCAUCUUCUCAAUGGCGGAACAGGUCUGAAGUUCUGUUCGGUAUCGUGAAAGCG